UGUCACCUCCGGUCGUAUACUCUAGUGGGGAAGAUGCUGCUGCGCAGUGUAUUCCGCCCGGCAUGCCUGGGAACAGGGUCAGUAACAUAGCAUUGAGGCGAUUAACCUACAACCAGGAUUUAUGACCUUGAGAGGAAGCAGGAGCAUCAGUGGAAAUCCGAGUGAACAUGGAGAGAAUAAACAAAGAGCUCCGUGUGUGUUGUGAGUGGAGAAUAAAGUGCUAAUGUGCGGGUUUCAGCUAA